GACGAACGCUGGCGGCGUGCCUAAUACAUGCAAGUAGAACGCUGAAGGAGGAGCUUGCUUCUCUGGAUGAGUUGCGAACGGGUGAGUAACGCGUAGGUAACCUGCCUGGUAGCGGGGGAUAACUAUUGGAAACGAUAGCUAAUACCGCAUAAUAGUAGAUGUUGCAUGACACUUGCUUAAAAGGUGCAAUUGCAUCACUACCAGAUGGACCUGCGUUGUAUUAGCUAGUUGGUGAGGUAACGGCUCACCAAGGCGACGAUACAUAGCCGACCUGAGAGGGGGAUCGGCCACACUGGGACUGAGACACGGCCCAGACUCCUACGGGAGGCAGCAGUAGGGAAUCUUCGGCAAUGGACGGAAGUCUGACCGAGCAACGCCGCGUGAGUGAAGAAGGUUUUCGGAUCGUAAAGCUCUGUUGUAAGAGAAGAACGAGUGUGAGAGUGGAAAGUUCACACUGUGACGGUAUCUUACCAGAAAGGGACGGCUAACUACGUG
rnacentral:rRNA from 1 species